AGAGUUUGAUCCUGGCUCAGGAUGAACGCUGGCGGCGUGCUUAACACAUGCAAGUCGAACGAUGAAGCCAGCUUGCUGGUGGAUUAGUGGCGAACGGGUGAGUAACACGUGAGUAACCUGCCCUUAGCUCUGGGAUAGCUCCGGGAAACCGGAAUUAAUACCGGAUAUGACCAUGGCCGACAUCGGUUGUGGUGGAAAGAUUUAUCGGCUGGGGAUGGGCUCGCGGCCUAUCAGCUUGUUGGUGGGGUAAUGGCCUACCAAGGCGACGACGGGUAGCCGGCCUGAGAGGGCGACCGGCCACACUGGGACUGAGACACGGCCCAGACUCCUACGGGAGGCAGCAGUGGGGAAUAUUGCGCAAUGGGCGGAAGCCUGACGCAGCGACGCCGCGUGGGGGAUGAAGGCCUUCGGGUUGUAAACCCCUUUCGGCAGGGACGAAGCGGAAGUGACGGUACCUGCAGAAGAAGCACCGGCUAACUACGUGCCAGCAGCCGCGGUAACACGUAGGGUGCAAGCGUUGUCCGGAAUCAUUGGGCGUAAAGAGCUCGUAGGCGGUCUGUCACGUCUGCUGUGAAAACUCGGGGCUUAACCCCGAGCUUGCAGUGGAUACGGGCAGACUAGAGGUAGGUAGGGGAGAAUGGAAUUCCCGGUGUAGCGGUGAAAUGCGCAGAUAUCGGGAGGAACACCGGUGCGAAGGCGGUUCUCUGGGCCUUACCUGACGCUGAGGAGCGAAAGCGUGGGGAGCGAACAGGAUUAGAUACCCCUGUAGUCC
rnacentral:rRNA from 1 species